rnacentral:rRNA from 1 species
CGGGUGAGUAACACGUGAGUGACCUGCCUUUUAGACUGGAACAACUUACCGAAAGGUGAGCUAAUGCCGGAUGAGUUAUAUAAGUGCAUGUUUAUAUAGGAAAAGUUGGGGAGACCUGACGCUGAAAGAUGGACUCGCGUCCCAUUAGCUAGUUGGUAGGGUAAUGGCCUACCAAGGCGACGAUGGGUAGCCGGCCUGAGAGGGUGGCCGGCCACACUGGGACUGAGAUACGGCCCAGACUCCUACGGGAGGCAGCAG